ensembl:lncRNA
ACAUUUUAGGAGCAGCUGGUCUAAGUGUAAGUAAAUUUAAUUUGGCUGCAAAAACACAUUGCAUUCUUAAUUGACUAAAUUGUCGCUGGGGGUAAUUUUCUGUGAUCGAGGAAUGCAGAGCCGCCCACAUCAAAUAAAGUCCUUGUUUAGAACAUGAAAGUAUCGAGGAGGAUGAACAACACGUGUUUGAUUCCAAGUACAGGGAGAAAUACGGCAAAUGCAUUCUCUUGAUGUCCAGGAGGAUAUUUAUCCUGGCCCCCAUCUGGGGGAGGUCGACUACCAGCCAGGAAAGGUCACAGAGAUCUCCUACCUGCCGCGUGGCUGCCGUUCUAAUUGCUCCUCUUUGUCUCGUUUACAGGGCUUAAUAGGGUCCGGGGGUUAGAGAGCUGGGGUCAGACGUCCGUCGCCUUACGAUCCCCACUGUUUGUCCAGGCUGGUUGUGUUUGGAGCACAUGGCAUCACUCCACACGUCUUCUCUCAGUACUCCUGUUCUACGUGUCAGCUCGUGUAUUCAUCCACGUAAGAGGAGGAUUAAGCCGCUUCCUUACAUGACUUUACUGUAUUUAGCCAACAAGAUUGUGUGCGUUCAUUAGGAACAACAAUUGUCAAAAUGUGUUGGAAAAUGUGUAAUUGUUGCUAUGCAGAGUAGUACAUGGUAGGACGUGUCAUGACGUUAUCCAGUGGCCACAAGAGCACCCAGGAAGUGCCAUGGUUAAUAGGAUGUGCUUGAGUAAAGCACAGAUCGGGUCAGAUGGAAUUAUUCUGUUGAAUUUUAAAACCAUAAGUGCACCGUACUAAUGUCUCACUGUAGAUCCAAGAAAUUCCAGUUUAGACAGUUAAUCAUGGACUUCAAAUCACACAGUAAUUCCUAAAACUCUUUCGCCAGUGCCUACCAGUUGACAUUAUUUGAUUUUAAAGGUCAAGGUCAUAGAUCAAGAACAAAGGCCUUCCGUUCAAGUCCAACGACACCAAGAGGACUGUAUUUCUUUGGGAUCAGUUGUUUUGUUGCUUUAAUGUGUUUUUAUUGGGAGCACAGUAAUUGGUGAGGACAGCUUAUGAACAGCAUUUCCUCACUGUGAAUAUUUGCUCUUUAAAAAUUCAUCCAGAGAAGGUUUAGUCGGCUUGCACAUUUACUUAUGUGAGUGUGCAAGCGUAAUAUGUUUGGAUUGUAUGUUGAAUCUUUGAUGUUAGAGGAUGAAUGACACCGAUUAAGCUGUCAGACCACAAACUGAUAGAGGCCAGAUGACAAAUCAAGACCUCAGUGAAGCACUCAAACCAAUGAUGUGUGCACACGCUGGCUUGUGUGUGGAAACAACGCAGACCGUUUUCCAUUUAUUCUUUACUAAUGAUUAACGAGGACGAACUUUCAGAAAUAUUAAAGCCGAGCAGGGGGAGAGACUCAUUUAUAGCUGACUCUCUUGUUUAUAUUGGACAACAAAUGUCCCACCCAGACGCACACUCCUACUACUGCUCCCCACCCCCCUCUUCCUUCCCCACAACUGUAUGACUUAUCUGUUUAUGAUGUCAUCAACUAACAAGACCAACAUUUUUGCUCUGACACAUGCAUGUACACAAACACAUGAAGUAUGCACGUAGACAAACACGUGUACAAGUAUGCACGUACACAAACAUAUGAAGUAUGCACGUACACAAACACAUGUACAAGUAUGCACAUACACAUGAACAAGUAUGCACAUACACAUGAACAAGUAUGCACGUACACAAACACAUGUACAAGUAUGCACAUACACAAACACAUGAACAAGUAUGCACAUACACAUUACAUUACAGGUCAUUUAGCAGACGCUUUUAUCCAAAGCGACUUACAUUAUACUGUAAACCCAUGGCUUUUUCACAUUUUGCCUGGGGAGCAAUUAGGGGUUAGGUGUCUUGCUCAGGGACACUUCGACAUUGAACAUGGGGCAGCCCGGACUCGAACCACCAACCUUGUGCUUCCCAGCACACCUUCUCUAGCCCCUGCGCCACGACGACCCCAAACACAUGUACAAGUAUGCACAUAGACAAACACGUGUACAAGUAUGCACGUAGACAAACACGUGUACAAGUAUGCACGU